UACGGGGGGGGCAAGCGUUGUUCGGAAUUACUGGGCGUAAAGCGAGUGUAGGCGGUUUCCUAAGUCGGAUGUGAAAGCCCCGGGCUCAACCCGGGAAGUGCACUCGAAACUGGGAGGCUAGAGUGUCGGAGAGGUUGGUGGAAUUCUCGGUGUAGAGGUGAAAUUCGUAGAUAUCGAGAGGAACACCGGUGGCGAAGGCGGCCAACUGGACGAACACUGACGCUGAGACUCGAAAGCGUGGGGAGCAAACAGG
rnacentral:rRNA from 1 species